GACGAACGCUGGCGGCGUGCUUAACACAUGCAAGUCGAACGGAAAGGCCCUGCUUUUGUGGGGUGCUCGAGUGGCGAACGGGUGAGUAACACGUGAGUAACCUGCCCUUGACUUUGGGAUAACUUCAGGAAACUGGGGCUAAUACCGGAUAGGAGCUCCUGCUGCAUGGUGGGGGUUGGAAAGUUUCGGCGGGUGGGGAUGGACUCGCGGCUUAUCAGCUUGUUGGUGGGGUAGUGGCUUACCAAGGCUUUGACGGGUAGCCGGCCUGAGAGGGUGACCGGCCACAUUGGGACUGAGAGACGGCCCAGACUCCUACGGGAGGCAGCAGUGGGGAAUAUUGCACAAUGGGCGGAAGCCUGAUGCAGCAACGCCGCGUGCGGGAUGACGGCCUUCGGGUUGUAAACCGCUUUCGCCUGUGACGAAGCGUGAGUGACGGUAAUGGGUAAAGAAGCACCGGCUAACUACGUG
rnacentral:rRNA from 1 species